UACGAAGGGGGCUAGCGUUGUUCGGAAUUACUGGGCGUAAAGCGCGCGCAGGCGGCUAUCCAAGUCAGUGGUGAAAGCCCGGAGCUCAACUCCGGAACUGCCAUUGAAACUGUUCAGCUUGAGGAUGAGAGAGGUGAGUGGAAUUCCCAGUGUAGAGGUGAAAUUCGUAGAUAUUCGCAAGAACACCAGUGGCGAAGGCGGCUCACUGGCCCGGUACUGACGCUGAGGUGCGAAAGCGUGGGGAGCAAACAGG
rnacentral:rRNA from 1 species